CGCUUGGCAGUCAGUCAGCUUCAAGCUUUCGGUGGACGAUGUUGCGCCCUUCUCGGUGGACCCCAAGCGGUGCUGCGACUUGCCUCAGUCAGACAGUAGUGUCCGGUGCGUGUGUAUGUGUGACUCCGUAUGUGUGUGCACUCUUUGGCACCUAAUUCUGGCGCUGGAAAACGAGAAUAAAAAACGGAAGAAGGAUACUGCUGUUUCCCGAGAAAGGUGUCGGCAGCCCACCCAUUAAAGGAUAACUGUUGCUGCUAUCGAGGAAAGCUUGUGCGAAGACCGGAAGAAGAGAGUGUCCACGAUUUUCUGUUUUUCGCACUGACUGGAGCGGAAAUUCGGGGUAGACGACCGAAACGCACGAUUGGCGCGUAUUUUCUAAUUCGUUUCCAGUUCCGGCAGCCGGCAGUUGGCGGUGGCAAUCAGUGAAAAAAUGUGGCGAUCGCUUUGCGUGUGACUUUUUCGCGCGGUUUUCUUUUGUGCACGGGGGGUGGUGAUUUGAAUGUAAUGAGCGUGGGCUGCCUUUCUGUCGAAUGUGUGGUUGAAUGGCGUGGGAAAAUCGCGAUUAGUGACGGUCAGAUAAGUAGUGGAGCUUUUCGGGUGCCCUGUUGGCGUUAAUUGGUGGUGAUUUGUGACAUGGGGAGAUUGUUUUUGAUGUGAAAUAGUUUAGAUUGUGUAGGAGAGAUGUGUUAAUUCAAUGUUGAAAAUCGAUAAAUUUAUUGUGAAAAUAAGUGUAAGCCGUUGAUGUUUGAUGUUGGUGUAAGAGUUCUAUCACGCAAUCAUAAGUGAAAUAUCAUAGUUUUAUGGAAGUUUGUGAUUAGGAGAAUAUAAUGGUGUGACUGCUAAAUGAACUUGAGCAAUUCAUAAUCCAACAUCAAUCAGUUGAAAUAUUGACACCAUGCUUCAUCAAGCGUUUCAUUGGAAACCAUCGGUUUGAUAUGGAUUUUUUUGUGUGAACCAGAACUCAAUCGUCGCCAGGAGCGUACUUUCAGCAACAAAAAAAAACUUUCAACACUUGCCAAAGCAAUAUCACAGUAAAAGCGGUUUACCGGAAAUGCCGUUUCCAUCGUGAAGCUUCGAGUGGGUGCAGGAAAGGGGGUAAAUGUUUUGCAGCACCUGAAAUGCAACGGCACCAAAUCAAUCGGGUCGGAAAAUUGUAAUUGUACGAUUUGAGAACGAGCGGAAGUGCAAAAAGUGUGUUACACACCUGAACCCAGGGCGCUGAAUCAAAGGGGAAUUGGUCCCAACAACUACGGAAUCCUGAAUCACGACCAACCCAGUUUGACGUGGUAUGAUAAAUAUUUUCUCGUUUUCUGUGUGGCGCAGCAGUGAAAAUCUCGAAGUGGAAAAAAAAAAUGUUUGAAAAAUGAAUUCCAAUAUCGACAAGUUUGACGGACAAUCAUCAGCAGCUGCACCGCAGUCCGGCAGGAAGAACUCAAAGUGAUAACGAUCAUCAUCAUCAUCAUCGGAAGUGAGAAGUUGCUACCAAAUAGGAGAAGUUUUUCCCAGUGAAGAAAGUUUGGCUGGCGGUCUCCUGAGUAGAGGAAUUGGUGCAGUUUUUCUGCGGGGGCUUAAGACCGGCUGUGGUCACUUUUUUUUCUGUGUGGAAGAUUUGCUAAAGUUGUGUAACUGGCACUUUGUUUGGGUGGGAUUUUUCCGGUUCAGUAGUUAGCCGGUGAAUUUGGUGAAGUUUUUGGUUUUGUGCUCGAGAAAAAAAAACCACUAAGAAGAUAGCGAGGGACAUCCUUCAAGGGUCGGAACCUUAUUUGCAUCGACUUUUGACGAGCUUUUCCAUCGACUGCAGUAGCAGCAACAUCAUCAUCAAACAGCUGGCAGGCAGCACAGAGGCAAUUUUCGGAAUGGACAUGGAUAUCAUCGACAUCCGGACGUUGGGAUAUCUUUCCAGCACUAGCACGGUGAGUUAUUUUAUGAGUUGGGUUCU